GAGAACGAACGCUGGCGGCGCGCUUAAGCAUGCAAGUCGGACGGCAAGGGUUGUGCUUGCACAACUCCUAGAGUGGCGGACUGGUGAGUAACGCGUGGGUGACCUGCCCUCGAGAUGGGGAUAGCCAUUAGAAAUAGUGGAUAAUACCGAAUACGCUCAUGACCCUGUGGGAUAUGAGGAAACAGGCUACGGCCUGGCUCGAGGAUGGGCCCGCGUCCCAUUAGCUAGUUGGUGAGGUAACGGCCCACCAAGGCGACGAUGGGUAUCCGGCCUGAGAGGGUGUACGGACACAUUGGGACUGAGAUACGGCCCAAACUCCUACGGGAGGCAGCAGCUAAGAAUAUUCCGCAAUGGACGAAAGUCUGACGGAGCGACGCCGCGUGGAUGAAAAGAAGGCCGGAAGGUUGUAAAAUCCUUUUGCUGAUGAAGAAUAAGUGUGGUAGGGAAUGACCGCAUGAUGACAUUAGUCGGUGAAUAAGCCCCGGCUAACUACGUGCCAGCCGCCGC
rnacentral:rRNA from 1 species